UCAGAGGGACGAGGGUGUAGUUUGAACGGCCAUGGCCAUAUGGUCUGCUAAAUGUUUAGCAGACCAUAGCUAUUUAGCAGACCCAAGCAUGGUAUGCUAAAUAUUUAGCAGACCAUAGCUAUUUAGCAGACCCAAGUAUGGUAUGCUAAU
ensembl:ncRNA ZK632.15 ncRNA